GAACCUGUUGCAUUCAGCAGAAAAAAGGCAACAGGACAGAAAGUCCUUGAGGACAAGAUGUGGUGGAUACUGUCAUCAAUAUCAAGGCAGGCGAAGAAAAAUCCUGGAUUGAUUCCAUUAAUUGGAUUUACUGGACUGGGAAUUACCAACGCAGCUCUCUACCUGGUAAAGCUUACCCUGUUCAACCCAGAUAUAAGCUGGGUGAAGAAGAAGGAACCAGAGCCUUGGUAUAAAUUAGACUGAGAGCUUUUGAGACAAGUUGAAGGCCAUGAGCUGCUUUAAUAAUGGAACAGGAUCUGAAAACCUCCUGUCUGUGAAGACAUUGGUCCCUGCCUGACAUAACUGCUGGAACACAUUAUUUCAUGUUGCACAGACACAUUUGAAGAUAAAGUCCCUUUUUUUUCCACACUUUUUUUUCUGCCUUAUUGAAAAGACAGGAGAAUGCUGAGAAUUAGUUCCAUGGUAGAUUGAGCACUAAAGGUUGCCUCCCCUUGUAUUAAAAUACAACCACAACAACUCCCAGCAUGCUAUGACAUAAAGGUGUAACUGAACCCUUUUGCUUUGUAUGUACCCAGACACUCAUUGUAAGUAUCGUAAGCUGUUAGCAGAUCGUUUAGGCAAAAUGUAAGUUUAGCUUGACAUUUUAUACUUACUUAGUAUUCUACACUUUUUAGUAGAACUAUUUAUUAAUGAUGUAAGGCAGCCAUGUGCAAUGUGUACCUUUCAAGAUGUAGUUGUAUUACAACCCUGGGCUUGAUGUAGAUCAUCCAUAUAUGGGGCCACAGGCAGAUGUCCUAGAUGUUAAGUGGGGGUUUGCAUCUGACGAGUAUAGUAUAAAAGAAACGUAUGUUUGAAGAAAGUAAUGUGUGGUGUAUAAAUAAAUACUAAUAAUUGA